rnacentral:rRNA from 1 species
GUGGGGAAUCUUCCGCAAUGGACGAAAGUCUGACGGAGCAACGCCGCGUGAGUGAAGAAGGUUUUCGGAUCGUAAAGCUCUUUCGUUAGGGACGAACGUGCUCUUUGUGAAUAAUGAGGAGUAAUGACGGUACCUAAAUAAGAAGCCACGGCUAACUACGUGCCAGCAGCCGCGGUAAUACGUAGGUGGCAAGCGUUGUCCGGAAUGAUUGGGCGUAAAGCGCGCGCAGGCGGGAUAUCAAGUCUGUCUUAAAAGUGCGAGGCUCAACCUCGUGAGGGGACAGAAACUGGUAAUCUUGAGUGUCGGAGAGGAAAGUGGAAUUCCAAGUGUAGCGGUGAAAUGCGUAGAGAUUUGGAAGACCACCAGUGGCGAAGGCGACUUUCUGGACGAUGUCUGACGCUGAGGCGCGAAAGCUAGGGGAGCGAACGGGAUUAGAAACCCGUGUAGUCC